AUACGUAGGUGGCAAGCGUUGUCCGGAUUUACUGGGUGUAAAGGGCGUGUAGGCGGAGAUGCAAGUCAGGAGUGAAAUCUAGGGGCUCAACCCCUAAACUGCUUUUGAAACUGUAUCCCUUGAGUAUCGGAGAGGCAGGCGGAAUUCCUAGUGUAGCGGUGAAAUGCGUAGAUAUUAGGAGGAAAACCAGUGGCGAAGGCGGCCUGGUGGACCACAACGGACUGUGAGGCGCGAAAGCGUGGGGAGCAAACAGGAUUAGAUUCCCUGGGAGUCCACGCUGUAAACGAUGAAUACUAGGUGUGGGGGGACUGACCCCCUCCGCGCCGCAGUUAACACAAUAAGUAUUCCACCUGGGGAGUACGAUCGCAAGAUUGAAACUCAAAUGAAUUGACGGGG
rnacentral:rRNA from 1 species